UGGGGAUUUAUGGACAAUGGGCGAAAGCCUGAUCCUGUGAUGCCGCGUGAGUGACGAAGGCCUUCGGGUUGUAAAGCUCUUUUAUCAGGGAAGAUAAUGACUGUACCUGAAGAAUAAGGACCAGCUAAUUACGUGCCAGCAGCUGCGGUGAUACGUGAGGUCCAAGCAUUGUUCGGAAUUACUGGGCGUAAAGGAUGCGUAGGCGGCUUGUAAAGCUAAGUGUGUAAUCCCCAAGCUUAACUUGGGAACUGCAUUUAGAACUGACUAGCUUGAAUGUGGGAGAGGGUAGUAGAAUUUCUGGUGUAGGGGUAAAAUCCGCGGAUAUCAGAAGGAAUACCGAAAGCGAAGGCAGCUACCUGGACCAUUAUUGACGCUGAGGCAUUAAAGCGUGGGGAGCAAA
rnacentral:rRNA from 1 species